GACGAACGCUGGCGGCGUGCUUAACACAUGCAAGUCGAACGGAAAGGCCUUUUCGGGGGUCCUCGAGUGGCGAACGGGUGAGUAACCCGCGGGUUAUCUGCCCUGCACUCUGGGAUAAGCCUGGGAAACUGGGUUUAAUACCGGAUAGGACAGCACUUUAGCGUGUGUGGUGGAAAGCUUUUUCGUUGUAGGUUGUGACCGCGGCCUACCAGCUUGUUGGUGGGGUAAGGGCCUACCAAGGCGGCGACGGGUAGCCGUACUGGGAGGUUGAUCGGCCACAGUGAGACUGAGAUACGGCCCAGACUCCGACGGGAGGCAGAGGUAGGAGAUGGUGCUCUAGGAGCGCAAGCCUGAUGCAGCGACACCGCGGGGGGGAGGGCGACCUACGGGUUGGAAUCGCCUAUCUCCAGUGACGAAGCGUUUUGUGACGGUACCGGGAGAAGAAGCACCGGCUAACUACGUG
rnacentral:rRNA from 1 species